rnacentral:rRNA from 1 species
AGAACGAACGCUGGCGGCAUGCCUAACACAUGCAAGUCGAACGAGACCUUCGGGUCUAGUGGCGCACGGGUGCGUAACGCGUGGGAAUCUGCCCAAAGGUUCGGAAUAACUCAGGGAAACUUGAGCUAAUACCGGAUGAUGUCGCAAGACCAAAGAUUUAUCGCCUUUGGAUGAGCCCGCGUAGGAUUAGCUUGUUGGUGAGGUAAAGGCUCACCAAGGCUACGAUCCUUAGCUGGUCUGAGAGGAUGAUCAGCCACACUGGGACUGAGAUACGGCCCAGACUCCUACGGGAGGCAGCAGUGGGGAAUAUUGGACAAUGGGCGAAAGCCUGAUCCAGCAAUGCCGCGUGAGUGAUGAAGGCCCUAGGGUUGUAAAGCUCUUUUACCCGGGAAGAUAAUGACUGUACCGGGAGAAUAAGCCCCGGCUAACUCCGUGCCAGCAGCCGC